UCAGCAUGUCGCGGUGAAUACGUUCUCGGGGUUUGUACACACCGCCCGUCAAACCACGAAAGUUGGCAAUACCCAAAGCCGGUGGCCUAACUUCGCAAGAAGAGGGAACCGUCUAAGGUAGGGUCGAUGAUUGGGGUUAAGUCGUAACAAGGUAUCCCUACCGGAAGGUGGGGAUGGAUCACCUCCUUUCUAAGGAAACAAUUAUCAUCUUCAGUUUUGAGAGACUUAAGAAAGUUUUUCAUUGUMACUUGCUUGCAAAUUGUAUUUGCAACAUUUUAAUCUUUUUAAGAUUAAGGGCCUAUAGCUCAGUUGGUUAGAGCACACGCCUGAUAAGCGUGAGGUCGGUGGUUCAAGUCCAUUUAGGCCCACCAUAACCACAAAUAGGCAAAAUCUUAAAAAAGCUCUUUGAAAAGUAGAUAAACGAAGGUUAAAAAAUCAAAGGAACUAAGGGCGCACAGUGGAUGCCUUGGCACUAAGAGCC
rnacentral:misc_RNA from 1 species